GGCACGGUGGCACAGUGGUUAGCACUGUCGCCUCACAGCAAGAGGGUUGUGGGUUCAAUUCCGGCCUAGGGCCU